UGUAAGUGCCAUUUGAUUCUACAAAAAUGUGCUUUUAAGAAAGCACAAGAUAAAAAGUCUGGUCAUACUCUGAGAUUUAUAUUAAUUUCUAACUUUUUUAUCCCUCUAGAACACCUAAUAAUAAUAAAAAGCUUUAAGAGCAAGAGAUAGUUGAUUUCUUCAGAGGCUGUUGAUGCCAUCUACAGACAAGCAGCUAUCUUUACAACUUGGACUUGUGAAAAAGACUUAUUUCUGAGAAAUAUUUUACAAGCCUAAUUACAGCAUGACUCUGUUGGUUGAACAGGAAAUUGUGGGAUGGUUAAGAAGCAUUUUCUUUACCAAGGAUGAGAAGGUUAAAGGAUUUACAAAAUUCUAAUCCUGGACUUUGGAGUGAAGGAAAGAAAGACAGACUUGAUAAAGAUAUUGCAUACUGAAUAGCAUGGCAUAGAACUAUAUCUGUACCACAUUUUGACAUCUAGUGUAAAGUUAAGUUGUGCAGUCGAGUUGAUAUCGACUCCUGACGGCCACUCCUCCUGGCUUUCUGAACUUUUCAUCUUGUCUUGUAGCUUUUUAAUUUCUUUUCUUGUGUCCUGACUUUUUCUGGGCUUGUUUGGGAUUUGGAAGCUGUCACAGAAUUAUCUGGGCAGGGGAAGCUGGAUUCUUUGCAAUUUCCAUUUUUAAAAAAUGGAGCAGUUCUCAGGGGCUCUACUGUUGGGCAGCAGGGCAAAGAGGAAUCCUUCCCAAAACAGCUGGCCUCAGUCCAAUCUUGGGAACAGAGCAGAUAAUGUCUGGUUUAGGUUCUUCCACAGACAACUAGCUUGAUGGAAGUUAGAAUCCUCACAGGAGGGGCUUAGUGUAAUUGAUCUCAUACCUUGCUGAUAUUAGCGGUGGUUCUGGCUUUCUUCAUCCAAUUUCUCUCCAAUGGGGCAAAGAGAAAGCCCUCCUCAGAAGCACCCACCCUACUUGCUGGUUGGAACCUAUCUGUCCUUCAUUUCAGAUCUUAAUAAAAGAUGUUGGGUUUUGAACUGCAAAUAGGGUGGACUAUGCCAAGAUUUGUGGGUUCAUACGACAUACCCCAUCUUGACAUAUCCUUUCUGACGCUGGAAGUCAGGUAUGCGUGUGAAUCCAGGUCUCCAGAUGCUCAGCUGCACCAGCAGUUUGCCAUGACAUAUGAAGCUGCCCUUUGACUCAAGUACUAUGUCACUUUUUGUGACCAUCUUAUUUCUGUUUCAGCAAAUGGGGAGACAUUUACAAGACUAUGGAAGCAUUAGAAGAACUGAGGAAAGAUUACAAGGCGUCUUCUUCACUUUGUGGUGUGACUUAUGUGCUUAAAAUGAUUGAGUAAAUUCAGUGAAAAUCAAACUUCAAAGUGUGCAAUUAUGCCUGGGUCAAACACAGACCUCAUAGAGAGUACUAUUUUUUUUUCUCAAACAGAAAAGAAGAGGAGGAGGAGGAGUGGCACCCUGAUCUUAAGAACAUUAUCUUGGAAAUAAAUGUCAUUUGAAUUUACUUCCAAAUAAAUGUACAUAGGAUUGCAACCUUGUCAUGGCUGUUGGAAGCGGGCUGUUCACAGUGCAAGAGAGUGCAAGCUUCCAUUGUAAGAAAUACUAAAUGUUUGCAUAUUCUGUAUAGAAUAAAUAGGUUUAAGUUCCAAAACAAUGAAUAAAACACAGCAUUUUGAAGCUGCUAAUUAAAUAUUAGUGUUAAUUGCCUUGAAAAGAAUAUAUCCAAACUACAAGUAUUUUAGAAGUGAUUUGUAUACUGUACUAUCAUAUUAUCAGCAACUGAAAAAAUACACAAUAUUUUUCUGGCAAAAUAUUACAAUACUUUGUUCAUAAAAAGUUUGUAUAUAUGAGCUCUCCAACCCAAUUAAUACAUAAUAAACAGUUGCUGAUGUUCCCCAAAGUACUACAAUUUCCCAGAUCUGGAAAAGGGUAUACCAGAGGAAAAAAUGGGGGAAAGAGUUUUAAGUAUUCCUUGUAGACAUUUGGUUAAAUUUUUAUGUAUUUUAUUAUACAGCAAUGGAGAAAUAAAAAUCAUGUAAAGAAUUUAACCUUGUGUUUGCCUUAAAUAAAUUCUAACUUUGUUGUCGUGCA